rnacentral:misc_RNA from 1 species
GAUGAAGAACGCAGUAAAAUGCGAUACUUGGUGUGAAUUGCAGAAUCCCGUGAACCAUCGAGUUUUUGAACGCAAGUUGCGCCCGAAGCCUUUUGGCCGAGGGCACGUCUGCCUGGGCGUCACGCAUCGCGUCGCCCCCCACAAUUCUCCGUAAAGGGAACGUGUGUUUUGGGGGCGGAUAUUGGUCUCCCGUGCUCAUGGCGUGGUUGGCCGAAAUAGGAGUCCUUUCGAUGGACGCACGAACUAGUGGUGGUCGUAAAAACCCUCGUCUUUUGUUUCGUGCUGUUGCUCGCAAGGUAAACUCUUUAAAAACCCCAAUGUGUCGUCUCUUGACGACGCUUCGACCGCGACCCCAGGUCAGGCGGGACUACCCGCUGAGUUUAAGCAUAUCAAUAAGCGGAGGA